ACACGGACAUCGGUGGCACCAGGUGACCCCCGUUGGCACCAGGUGACCCCCGUUGGCACCAGGUGACCAUCAUUGGCACAGGGUGACCCCUGUUGGUACCAGGUGACCCCCGUUGGCACCAGGUGAUUCUUGUUGGCACCAGGUGACCCUCAUUGGGACAAUGUGACCCCCACUGGCACCAGGUGACCCCGACUGGCACCAGGUGACUCCCGUUGGCACCAGGUGACCCUCAUUGGGACAAUGUGACCCCCACUGGCACCAGGUGACCCCCACUGGCACCAGGUGACUCCCGUUGGCACCAGGUGACCCUCAUUGGGACAAUGUGACCCCCAUUGGCACCAGGUGACCCCCACUGGCACCAGGUAACCUCUGUUGGCACCAUGGGAUCUCUAUUGGUACCAAAUGACCCCCAUUGGCACCAGGUGACCCUCGUUGAUACAGGGUGGCCUUUGUUGGCACCAGGUGACCGCCAUUGGCACAGGGUGACCUCUGUUGGCACCAGGUGAUUCUCGUUGGCAUGAGGUGACCCCCGUUGGCAACACAAACCCUUCCAUGAUUGCAUCCUGCCAUGAUGGAACUGGAGGAGCUCCAGUGCCUCUUCCAACCCAAACCAUUCGAUGGCUCCAUGAGUUCCACCAUUCCAUGAGCUCCAAACUCCCCUCCAACCCAAACCAUUCCAUGACUCCACCCAGCCACGAUGGAACUGGAAGAGCUCUAAAGCCUUCUCCAACCCAAGACUCCACCUGGCCAGGAUGGAACUGGAUGAACUUUGAAGUCUUCUCCAACCCAAACCCUUCCAUGACUCCACCCUGCCAUGACCAGAUCUGGAUGAGUUCUGAAGACCCCUCCAACCCAAACCCUGCCAUGGUUCCACCCGGCCAUGAUGGAACUGGAGGAGCUCUGAAGCCUUCUCCAACCCAAACCCUUCCAUGAUUUCAUGAGUUCCACCAUUCCAUGAGCUCCAAACUCCCCUUCAACCCAAACCCUUCCAUGAUUCCACCCGGCCAUGACCAGAUCUGGAUGAGUUCUGAAGUCCCCUCCAACCCAAACCCUUCCAUGACUCCACUUGGCCAGGAUGGAACUGGAGGAGCUCCAAAGUCUUCCCCAACCCAAACCAUUCCAUUACUCCGUCCUGCCAUGAUGGAACUGGAGGAACUCUGAAGCCUUCUCCAACCCAAGACUCCACCUGGCCAGGAUGGAACUGGAGGAGCUCCAGUGCCUCUUCCAACCCAAACCCUGCCAUGACCAGAUCUGGAUGAGUUCUGAAGUCCCCUCCAACCCAAACCCUUCCAUGACUCCACUUGGCCAGGAUGGAACUGGAGAAGCUCUAAAGUCCCCUCCAACCCAAAUUCCAUGAUUCCACCUGGCCAUGACCACAACUGGAUGGACUCUGAAGCCUUCUCCAACCCAAACCCUCCCAUGGUUCCACCUGGCCAUGAUGGAACUGGAUGGACUCUGAAGCCUUCUCCAACCCAAACCCUCCCAUGGCUCCACCUGGCCAUGAUUGGCCGUCCCAGUGCUGGCCCCUCCCCCUCCCCAGGCCAGCCCCGCCCCCAG